GCUGGAGUAGCUCAGUUGGUU
rnacentral:siRNA from 1 species